UUCACUGUAAAAUGAAUUCAUUUCAACAAAACCUUUUUUGAUAAAUUAAACCAGCACCGCUCUGUAUAUAAUUUCUAUAAACAAUCUUCUCUAGUGUUUACCUAACCUGGGCAUGCAGAAACUCUUGCACGUUAAAUAUUAGAUGAAAAGAGGCUAUGAAACUUUUAAAUAAUUCCUUUUUUUUCCUUUUCAAAGCAAGAAAGGCAGAAUACCAUGGGAAAAUGCUCUGCUGCUGUUGAGCUGAGGUUUUUCUGCCUUCUGCCAAGAGUGAAGGGAGACAAACCCCUCAUGCUGCCACGGCUUUGUGUAGAUUUUUGUGUUUCCAGGGCUGUAGCACGAGGUUCACUGGACUCACAGGGUGCCAGCACCCAUCCCCACCCCCCCUGUGCAGCUGGUGAUGUGAUGAUUUAUCUCCUGUGUGAUAUUUGCAGGGUCCUGGGAAGUUUGUCAUUCAUAAUUUGUGAAUUUACCACAGAGCAUUCAUUAAUUCAUUAAUUAAAUUCAUUAAUUCAUUAAUUCACUAAUUAAAUACAACCCCACAGCAGGUGUUGGCUGGGGAGAGCUGGGCACUGUUGGCAUUGAAGUGCCGUGGUGGUUCAGGCUGUGCUGGGUCAUUUGCUGAGAGAUUUGGAAGUUUUCCCUUGACCUGCCAGACUCCAGAGCACCCUGGAAAGAUGGACUUGACUUCGCAGAAGGAAGGCGGCUCCUUCAUUUUUUGCUCCUGCUCCUGCACAAAGCCCAGCCUGGACACAGCAACAUUUUCCAGCUUGGCUCCUUGAGGUCAGGUCCCUCCAUUGGCUCACCUCCUUCUUGGGCUGGGCUCUUGCAGAACUCCUGGAGCUGCUGCAUGGCACAGAGACUGCCCAAAGCAAGGCUCAACCCUCCCCACACAGAUCCUCUGCUGUGGUCGCUGCAGGAUGCAAGAACCUGAAGUUUUCCCACUUUUGCCCUCGUGGUGGGAAUGUCUCCUCCUGCUCUGUGCUCCAGCAGGUGCCUGACACCCUGCUGGCCUUGGCUUUGGGGAUAAAUCU